AUCUUGUUGGAGAUCCCUGCUUAUCUAAGGCCUUCCAAAAGUGUUGCACACCAUGAGUGACAUGGCCAUUUCAUACCCAGGGAAGUGGGUGACUUCAUGCGAAUUUUGAUUACUGAGACUGUCUGCUUCUCAAAGAACAAAUGGCAUCAAAACUUAGCAGAAAAACCUAAAUCACACUGCAGUUUGAUGUAAUUCUAGGAACCCAGUCAAAACCCAGUAGUGAAAGCAGCAAGCAGAGUAAAUAUUAUUUCUGCCUAAAUGUAGGAGUCCACCCAAUCAAUUAUUCCUUGGUACAUCACUUCCAAAGAGUGAACAUCACUUACUAUAAUAAGUGCAAUUUAUAUUUUCAUGAAAAAAAUGACACUUUCUGAAAGCAAGGAUCUAAAAUGCAUUUAUGUAUUUAUGCAUGCUUCACUUACAUAAAAAGUGCUUAGCAUACUCGAUGUUAAUAGCAAAGCUUCCGCUGACUAUAUUGAUGUAUAUAUUUUUGACACAUAUGCAAAUGCACUACCUGACUUGUGCAUACCAAGCAGGGAGUUUGAGCUCCAGCUUUCUGGGGCAGAAAGUGCUUUUAAUUGGUUGUGAUGCAUAGAACAGAGAGCCUGACAGUGCUAAUCAAAAGUUAACAAGCAGGAAGGAUUUGUUCUUUGAAAGCUGAAAUUUCCAAGUAACCAUUCGUACUUAAUCCACUUGGAGAUAAGGAGGGGAAGAAGGAUUUCAGCUGGACUUCGGUGACCUCUUCAAAAGAUUGUCAGACACGUUUUUGCUCUCCUAGCGAGACAGGCGUAGUUCUGGCCUCGUCGGGAACACAGGCAUAGGGAACAGACUGCACAAAAGCAAAAGUGGGAAAGAAGUUUCAUCCCGUUUCUCUAAGCUGACAUGUUUUGCUGGAUGGCUGCCAGCCGCAUGCCAGUGCCUCACUGCGUAUUGUUUGGGAUUUGCUGCUUUCAGCACAAAGUGAACAGUAAUGGAAGCUUUCGGUGUGUUUGAAGAUUAAUUUCACAUUAAUCGCAACAAAGCUGAAGUCAACAAGCUGAAUUUAAUUACUACCCUGACAGCUGGGAGGCAAUUAAUGCCCUUAAACUUUCGAGAGCUCCCUUGCUUGUAUUUUCCCCUUGUCUUCAUACUAAUUAGAAACAUGCUUCAGGGUACAGCUGACCAUGGUGUUAAAUUAGCACCUUGUCAUCAGAACCAGAAAAACUCCCAGUUAGACACCAGCUCUUUCACCAGAUCAAGAAUUGAGGCCAUCUCUGAACAGUAUGAGCCCAAGAAUUCUGCUAACCUGUCUGUCUUAUGGUAUCAGCUCCCACCAUAUUCAUCCUCUGGGGCAUGUAACUAAAGGAAUAUCCCAUUUUGACUGCAGCAGGGAUUCUUUUUAUCACUUUAAAACCUUUCAGAUUUCCGUAUUGAGUAGUAAAAAGCAAAAAAAGCUUUGCAAAAGGAAAUUAAUGUGCC
ensembl:lncRNA